AAAGUCGUAACAAGGUUUCCGUAGGUGAACCUGCGGAAGGAUCAUUAAAGAGACGUUGCCCUUCGGGGUAUACCUCCCACCCUUUGUUUAUUAUACCUUUGUUGCUUUGGCAGGCCCGUCCCUAGGGACCCCCGGCUCCGGCUGGGCCGCGCCUGCCAGAGGACCCAAAACUCUGUUUGUUAAUAUUGUCUGAGUACUAUAUAAUAGUUAAAACUUUCAACAACGGAUCUCUUGGUUCUG
rnacentral:misc_RNA from 1 species